rnacentral:lncRNA from 1 species
UCAACACAAACAUCACAUAACAUACAUUGGGUAUAAAACCCACAUAAACCUUAAACAUGCAUUUCUACUCAAACUCAACCAUCAAACUCUAUAAAACUUGCUUAAAACUUCAUGAAAACACUAGGGAAGCAAGGAUCUACACUUACCUCUUGAAGAUCGAGGGUGGCGUGACCCCUAACUCGGAGGUGUGGAGAAUCCAAGCUCC